CGGGAACUGUUAUCGCCGCUUCCCGCGCCAUUCAGCGUGCACGCGCAAGACAACCAGGCACGUACCCGCUUGGAGACUGUCUGGAGUCUGUCUGAAAUUGAUAAAAUUGGAGAUGGAGUUUUACAUCUGUUUGCACAUAUACAAGGAAGCCGCCUGUUGGGAAUAGGAAUGUUUGCUGUCCUCCUCAAACGCCUUUCGCCCACGAGUCACCACGCUUCAGCCAAAAUAUUUUUUUGAUAAACGCUGUGAAAGUUUUUUCUUCUGCAGUCGACCAGCAGACAGCUCUUUAUGUACAGGGAAUCAUCCGACAGCCCUAGAGUUCAAGAGGAGUGCACCAUCCAGAAGGCAGUCUCCCUCAGCUCAUAAAGGAGAUCCAUGGUUUCUUGCAGCCUGUCAUGCCUUCAUGACUUCAACGCUGGAGUGCCUCGGCCCAAAUGGUCGGGCUGACACUUUGUAACAACUCUAUUGCAAGGCAUCCCACAUCCAAACUGCAGUGUAGCGAAUGUUAAGUGUAGAGAGCUGGUGGUGGACUAGGAGGAAGAUGUCAUGCUAGGAAUGGGUUUUGGUGAUGAUGUUGCUGCUGUUGAUGCAGUGUCGAGCUCUCACUUUGUGCCUCUGUCAGUUAUGAUGCGUAACCACAAAGUGAGUGACAGGCCAGUCCCCGGGGAGAGCAGGGGGCCUGAGGGAUCUUUUCUGCCGGUGAAUAUUUUGAUGAAGGUUCCUAUUGAUGCGCUGAAUGAAAGACCAAAACAACAGGGAUAUGUGUGCAUGUGGGUAGGAACAGAAAUGAAUGAAUUGUGUGGGGAUGUGUGCGUGCCAGGCAAGAAGAAAAUACAACCAAGUGAUAGUAAGGUGUGUAUGCGUGAGUGAGUGAAUGAGUGAGAGAGAAAGCUGUGUGGAGAAUGGGUUACUGAGGGGUGGGAGGGAGGAAACCAGCCACCUGCAGCCAUGACAGGCUUUGACCUUCAUUUCUCUCUCUCUUUCUCUCUGUCUCGUAUUUUUCCCUCUCCCUCUCACCCCUCCCUCCCCUAUCUCCCACUCUUUCCUUUCGACUUCCAUUUCUGCCUUGUGAUAGCAGCACUGGCUCUUUUCAGAAGCGACGAGGAAGACUGACCAUCGUGAAGACAGUGCUGGGAGCAGCCAUAUCCGCUCUAAUGCUAUAGUCAUUGGCAGUUAGACAUGGCGUUCAAAGACUAGCGGUGCAAGUAUGGAAAUGCAGAUAAGGCAUUGUUGAGGAAACAUGCCUGGGAAUUGUUCAAGGCUUUCCCUUGCAUAAUGUUUGGAUGCUUUCAAAAGUGUUUUAAUCUCAAAACCCAUGAAUUUGAUCCUCCAUGAAUGAGAUCCAGAACCGCCCAUAGAAUGAGUGGGUGUUUGCAUGAAAAGGGUUGUCAUGCUAUGGAAAUUAAUAAUGUAUGUGAUUACAUUUGUGAAUAUUUGACAUCUGGCAACAUUUGUGUAAAACUAUUUUUGUAUAUAUUUCUGUUCUAGACAAUUAUAGCUAUAAUGCAUUUGAUUUUUUGAGACUAUAAUGUCUGCAGAAGCUCAGCAUUGAUUGAAGGUCACACUUACUGCCUCAGCCAGGCCUCGGUUUUCUUUUUUCUGUGCUUUAAUGGCAAACUAUGAGCUCUUUGCUUCACAUUAAGAUGCCAGAGACUUGUGUGUGUAUAAUCU